AAUAAGUGUCCGGCUGAAUAGCUUAAAAAAUGGAGGAAGAAAAUAUUUGUUUGGAAAAAAUAUACAUGUUAGUGUGGACGGGGCAUAAAUUGACUGUUUAUAUAUGGUAUAAAAACAUAUUUCUGGUCAAAUGCUGCCCCCUUCUGUCAAUAGCUGGGCGUCAAUUUUGACUUUCAAUCUUACAAAUUGCCCCUUUAAAGUAGAA